rnacentral:rRNA from 1 species
UACGUAGGGCGCGAGCGUUGUCCGGAAUUAUUGGGCGUAAAGAGCUCGUAGGCGGCUUGUCACGUCGGGUGUGAAAGACCGGGGCUUAACUCCGGUUCUGCAUUUGAUACGGGCUAGCUAGAGUGUGGUAGGGGGAGAUCGGAAUUCCUGGUGUAGCGGUGAGAUGCGCAGAUAUCAGGAGGAACACCGGUGGCGAAGGCGGAUCUCUGGGCCAUUACUGACGCUGAGGAGCGAAAGCGUGGGGAGCGAACAGG